rnacentral:lncRNA from 1 species
GGAGGAAGAAGAAGAGGAUGUUGGAGAUCUGUUUAACACCAGAGAGAGAUGUGACGAUCGUGGAUACACUGGGGAGCCUCAACAACAACAUGAUGCUGACAAGGCAGAGAAGAGUCUCUCCAGAUCAGAACUCCUCAAGAAACACCAAUACCCACAUGGAAGAAAUAUUACCACUGCUGCUCUGACUGUGGUAAAAUAUUCAACUAUUCAUUCAAACUUAAAAUACAUCAAAGACAUCACACAAGAGAGAAACCAUAUGGCUGUGCUCAAUGUGGGAAGAGUUUUGUUAAAUCUAGCUAUCUAACUAUACACCAGAGAACACACACAGGAGUGAAACCAUAUAGCUGUAAUCAGUGUGGGAAGAGUUUUUCUACAAGCUGACACACACAGGGGAAGAGAUACUCUGAUAAAGAUCUCUGAUUCAACAUAAAAUACAUGAAGGAGUUGUUUCAUGAUAUUAAUGAAAUAAUGUCACAAUGUAGAAUGUUUUAACAUUGUAGUAGGAAUAUAUUAAUGAUGUCACAAUGUAGAAAGUUUAAACAUUGUAGUAGGAGUAUGUUAAUGAUGUCACAAUGUAGAAUGUUUAAACAUUGUAGUAGGAGUAUUUUAAUGAUGUCACAAUGUAGAAGCCUAAACGUUUGUCCCCUGUUCUAUUGAUUUCAGCAUGAUAUGAUAUUAGCCUCAGGGUGAAAAUCCAGGCUCUGAAUUGAAAGAGUACUAUUUAUAUGAUUUAACAAAAAGUGACUAACAAAAAAAGAGUUGUUACACUUACCACGUUGGUGACUCACUUGAAUCAAAAUGCAACACUUCAAAAUGUAGCGAUCUGUUUUCUACAAGUUGUCCUCUAACCAGGGAUGUACACAUUAUUCCCAGAUUCCAUGUGGUUUUUGAGUUGUUAGUUUUAACAGGACGUGCAACCUCCUCUCGGCACAAUUGAUUUCAACAUGAUAUCAAUGAGUGAUGACAAAUAAGUGUUGCGUUCCUUUGUUUAACGACACCUACAUUUAAAUGCAUCACUCCAAAAUGUAGCUGACGGUCUUCUGCAGCUUGUCCUCUAACCAGUGAGGUAAAAGAUAUCUCCCAUUUCCAUGUGUUUGUUUUAGUCCCAACAGGACGAACAACCUGAUUUACCCCCUAAUUGAUAUCAGUGAUUUAUUGCUACUUGUCAAAACAACAGCGUUUCUGGCGCUUGUGCAGUUUAUGAGGUGCUUGUUUAAGUUAUAUGAUUAUUGUGGCAGAUGUUUGUGUAUAUAAUACAUUUUACCCCAAACUGUUUCUGCAUUUGGACUAUUGAUUUGGACACGUUUAAACUGUGACUUUGGG